GACGAACGCUGGCGGCGUGCUUAACACAUGCAAGUCGAACGGAAAGGCCCUGCUUUUGUGGGGUGCUCGAGUGGCGAACGGGUGAGUAACACGUGAGUAACCUGCCCUUGACUUUGGGAUAACUUCAGGAAACUGGGGCUAAUAUCGGAUAGGAGCUCCUGCUGCAUGGUGGGGGUUGGAAAGUUUCGGCGGUUGGGGAUGGACUCGCGGCUUAUCAGCUUGUUGGUGGGGUAGUGGCUUACCAAGGCUUUGACGGGUAGCCGGCCUGAGAGGGUGACCGGCCACAUUGGGACUGAGAUACGGCCCAGACUCCUACGGGAGGCAGCAGUGGGGAAUAGUGCACAAUGGGCGGAAGCCUGGUGCAGCAACGCCGCGUGCGGGAUGACGGCCUUCGGGUUGUAAACCGCUUUCGCCUGUGACGAAGCGUGAGUGACGGUAAUGGGUAAAGAAGCACCGGCUAACUACGU
rnacentral:rRNA from 1 species